rnacentral:rRNA from 1 species
AAUAGAUACCCGGGUAGUCCACGCCGUAAACGAUGGAUACUAGCUGUUUGAGCGCAAGUUUGAGUGGCUAAGCGAAAGUGAUAAGUAUCCCACCUGGGGAGUACGGGCGCAAGCCUGAAACUCAAAGGAAUUGACGGGGGCCCGCACAAGCGGUGGAGCAUGUGGUUUAAUUCGAUGAUACGCGAGGAACCUUACCAGGGCUUAAAUGUAGAUUGACGUAUUUGGAAACAGAUAUUUCUUCGGACAAUUUACAAGGUGCUGCAUGGUUGUCGUCAGCUCGUGCCGUAAGGUGUCAGGUUAAGUCCUAUAACGAGCGCAACCCCUGUUGUUAGUUGCCAGCGAGUAAUGUCGGGAACUCUAGCAAGACUGCCAGUGUAAACUGUGAGGAAGGUGGGGAUGACGUCAAAUCAUCACGGCCCUUACGUCCUGGGCCACACACGUGCUACAAUGGCCGGUACAGAGAGCAGCCACUUAGCGAUAAGGAGCGAAUCUAUAAAGCCGGUCACAGUUCGGAUCGGAGUCUGC